rnacentral:lncRNA from 1 species
CAGGGAACUAGGGAAGAAGAAAGAGGGGAGAAGAGAAGGGGAGAGGAGAAGGAGGAGAAGGAAGAGAAGGAGGAGAAGGAGGGUGUGGUCGUCUCCGUCGUGGUGCUGCGGUCGUUCUCGUCGUCGUUUUCCAUCGCCGGUAAGUGGUAUUUUUUCUGGUUUUGUUAGUAGUAGUAGUUGGUAAUUAGUAGUAAUAGUGUAGUAAUUAGUUAGUAGUAGUCGAAGUUAGUAGUAGUAAGUAUGUCGGCUGUUGUGCCAUAUGUGAUGUUGAUGGCCUUAUGGAUGUGUGGCAUUCGUGUCGUAUAUGUGCUGUCGACCAUCGAGCCGACUUCUUUUUUGCAGGUUUUGGAAACCUCCCCGUACAGGGAAGGUUCUGCCAAAAUUUUUUACUUAUAUUGUUGUUUUUAUUGUUUUUGCAGAGCAGGACCUGUCGAGGGGACUCGGAGCACCUCGAUACAGCGUCGCCUCGCCACUGCACCGACUCGUCACUGCGCCGCUAGCCUGUCUUCACCGCCACCCUAGGUAUAAUUAACCUGCAUCCCUUAACCUUGUCGUACUUAGGUCACGUAACCCAGUUAGGCGUCUCCCGUCCGAAAAAGAUACGGU